rnacentral:rRNA from 1 species
AGGAAUAUUGGUCAAUGGGCGAUGGCCUGAACCAGCCAAGUAGCGUGAAGGAUGACUGCCCUAUGGGUUGUAAACUUCUUUUAUAAAGGAAUAAAGUCGGGUAUGCAUACCCGUUUGCAUGUACUUUAUGAAUAAGGAUCGGCUAACUCCGUGCCAGCAGCCGCGGUAAUACGGAGGAUCCGAGCGUUAUCCGGAUUUAUUGGGUUUAAAGGGAGCGUAGGUGGACAGUUAAGUCAGUUGUGAAAGUUUGCGGCUCAACCGUAAAAUUGCAGUUGAUACUGGCUGUCUUGAGUACAGUAGAGGUGGGCGGAAUUCGUGGUGUAGCGGUGAAAUGCUUAGAUAUCACGAAGAACUCCGAUUGCGAAGGCAGCUCACUGGACUGCAACUGACACUGAUGCUCGAAAGUGUGGGUAUCAAACAGGAUUAGAUACCCUGGUAGUCCACACAGUAAACGAUGAAUACUCGCUGUUUGCGAUAUACAGUAAGCGGCCAAGCGAAAGCAUUAAGUAUUCCACCUGGGGAGUACGCCGGCAACGGUGAAACUCAAAGGAAUUGACGGGGGCCCGCACAAGCGGAGGAACAUGUGGUUUAAUUCGAUGAUACGCGAGGAACCUUACCCGGGCUUAAAUUGCACUCGAAUGAUCCGGAAACGGUUCAGCUAGCAAUAGCGAGUGUGAAGGUGCUGCAUGGUUGUCGUCAGCUCGUGCCGUGAGGUGUCGGCUUAAGUGCCAUAACGAGCGCAACCCUUGUUGUCAGUUACUAACAGGUGAUGCUGAGGACUCUGACAAGACUGCCAUCGUAAGAUGUGAGGAAGGUGGGGAUGACGUCAAAUCAGCACGGCCCUUACGUCCGGGGCUACACACGUGUUACAAUGGGGGGUACAGAGGGCCGCUACCACGCGAGUGGAUGCCAAUCCCUAAAACCCCUCUCAGUUCGGACUGGAGUCUGCAACCCGACUCCACGAAGCUGGAUUCGCUAGUAAUCGCGCAUCAGCCACGGCGUGGUGAAUACGUUCCCG